rnacentral:rRNA from 1 species
GACGAACGCUGGCGGCGUGCUUAACACAUGCAAGUCGAACGGAAAGGCCCUGCUUUUGUGGGGUGCUCGAGUGGCGAACGGGUGAGUAACACGUGAGUAACCUGCCCUUGACUUUGGGAUAACUUCAGGAAACUGGGGCUAAUACCGGAUAGGAGCUCCUGCUGCAUGGUGGGGGUUGGAAAGUUUCGGCGGUUGGGGAUGGACUCGCGGCUUAUCAGCUUGUUGGUGGGGUAGUGGCUUACCAAGGCUUUGACGGGUAGCCGGCCUGAGAGGGUGACCGGCCACAUUGGGACUGAGAUACGGCCCAGACGCCUACGGGAGGCAGCAGUGGGGAAUAUUGCACAAUGGGCGGAAGCCUGAUGCAGCAACGCCGCGUGCGGGAUGACGGCCUUCGGGUUGUAAACCGCUUUCGCCUGUGACGAAGCGUGAGGGACGGUAAUGGGUAAAGAAGCACCGGCUAACUACGU